UUACCACAGUGAGUUUCUGUGUUGGGGGA
rnacentral:piRNA from 1 species